rnacentral:tRNA from 2 species
GCCCGGGUAGCUCAAUCGGUAGAGCGUGUGGCUCUUAGUAGACUACCUCAAGGUCGCGGGUUCGAGCCCCGCCUCGGGCU